rfam:Gossypium raimondii Chr08_contig_1318, whole genome shotgun sequence.
AUAAAAGAAAGGGAGCUCCUUUUGGUCCAAUACAGGGGGCAGAGAAGGGGAUAGAGCUGCCAUCUCAUGCAUUCCGGCUAUGCUUAAACCUUUACCUCCAUCGUCUAAUGUUAAGCAGAGCCAGAUGCAUGGUGUGGGAGCAACUCCUUCCCCAUCCUUUGCCCACCCAUUGGACUGAAGGGAGCUCCCUGCUUCAUUGCA